UAGACACGCUGAGUUGCUAGGCUGCUGGUUUGUCUCCACCAGAGCACACAGCCCACCGCAUGCCAGCUUUCUGGAUUUUGCCUCCAGUUUGCCCCAGGUGCAUAAGAAAUUCUUCUUCAAAUUGAGAUGCUGAGGGCGACCCCAUAGGAAGACUAGCAGUCUCAACUAACCUGGACCCCUGAGAUCUCUCAGACACUGAGUGACCAACCAGGCAGCAUACAACCAGCUGAUAUGAGGCCCCCAACACAUAUACAGCAGAGGACUGCCGGGUCUGGCCUCAGUGGGAGAAGAAGCACCUAACCCCUGGAGAGGCUUGAGGCCCCGCGGAGUGAAGAGAUGUGGUGUUGCAUGCCGGUGAUCCCAGCAUCCAGAGGCGGAGGCAGGAGAAUCAGAAGCUCACGGUGAUCCAGGACUACAAAGCAGUCUCAGGAACUUCUUGAAUGUAAAAAAAGUAAAAUUUCAGUCAACCGUGCCAUGUUAAGCCGCAGUAAGACCAGGCACUUCCCCCUAUGCUAAGGCUGGACAAGGCAACACAACAAGAGGAAAGAAAAGAGCCUGAGACAGCCCUCGCUCCCACUGUUAGGAGUCCCAGGAAAAGACAGAGCUACGUAACUAUAACACACACGCAGAGGGCCU
rnacentral:lncRNA from 1 species